CCUACGGGCGGCAGCAGUGGGGAAUAUUGGACAAUGGGGGGAACCCUGAUCCAGCCAUGCCGCGUGUGUGAAGAAGGCCCUCGGGUUGUAAAGCACUUUCAGUGAGGAAGAACGCCUGGUGGUUAAUACCCAUCAGGAAAGACAUCACUCACAGAAGAAGCACCGGCUAACUCCGUGCCAGCAGCCGCGGUAAUACGGAGGGUGCGAGCGUUAAUCGGAAUUACUGGGCGUAAAGCGCGCGUAGGUGGCUUGAUAAGCCGGUUGUGAAAGCCCCGGGCUCAACCUGGGAACGGCAUCCGGAACUGUCAAGCUAGAGGGCAGGAGAGGAAGGUAGAAUUCCCGGUGUAGCGGUGAAAUGCGUAGAGAUCGGGAGGAAUACCAGUGGCGAAGGCGGCCUUCUGGACUGACACUGACACUGAGGUGCGAAAGCGUGGGUAGCAAACAGGAUUAGAUACCCUAGUAGUC
rnacentral:rRNA from 1 species